CCUACGGGAGGCAGCAGUGGGGGAAUCUUGCGCAAUGGGCGAAAGCCUGACGCAGCCAUGCCGCGUGAAUGAUGAAGGUCUUAGGAUUGUAAAAUUCUUUCACCGGGGACGAUAAUGACGGUACCCGGAGAAGAAGCCCCGGCUAACUUCGUGCCAGCAGCCGCGGUAAUACGAAGGGGGGCUAGCGUUGCUCGGAAUUACUGGGCGUAAAGGGAGCGUAGGCGGAUAGUUUAGUCAGAGGUGAAAGCCCAGGGCUCAACCUUGGAAUUGCCUUUGAUACUGGCUAUCUUGAGUAUGGGAGAGGUUAGCGGAACUCCGAGUGUAGAGGUGAAAUUCGUAGAUAUUCGGAAGAACACCAGUGGCGAAGGCGGCUAACUGGCCCAUUACUGACGCUGAGGCUCGAAAGCGUGGGGAGCAAACAGGAUUAGAUACCCUGGUAGUCCACGCCGUAAACGAUGAGUGCUAGUUGUCGGCAUGCAUGCAUGUCGGUGACGCGAGCUACGACAUAAGACACCUCCGCCGUCGGGGAGGUACGGUCGGCGAAGAAGUUAAACGUAACGUAAAGGUAAAGUUAGUUACGGUACGUUAGAGACGUUGCCGACGGACGACCGACGAGGGAGGAGG
rnacentral:rRNA from 1 species